GUCCCCGUCGUCUAGCCAGGCCUAGGACACCGGCCUUUCACGCCGGCGACGCGGGUUCGAAUCCCGCCGGGGACGCCA
rnacentral:tRNA from 1 species